UUGUAGCAAUACAACUGGCGCACGGCGCACGGGUGCGUAACACGUGGGUAACCUGCCCUUUGGUGGGGAAUAACUCCGCGAAAGCGGAGCUAAUUCCGCAUAAGAUCCGCAAGGAUGAAAGCCGCAAGGCGCCGAAGGAGGGGCCCGCGCCCGAUUAGCUAGUUGGUAGGGUAACGGCCUACCAAGGCUUUGAUCGGUAGCUGGUCUGAGAGGAUGAUCAGCCACACUGGAACUGAGACACGGUCCAGACUCCUACGGGAGGCAGCAGUGGGGAAUCUUGCACAAUGGGCGAAAGCCUGAUGCAGCGACGCCGCGUGGGGGAUGAAGCAUUUCGGUGUGUAAACCCCUUUCGAUCCGGACGAAACCCCGCAAGGGAUUGACGGUACGGAUAUAAGAAGCCCCGGCUAACUACGUGCCAGCAGCCGCGGUAAGACGUAGGGGGCCAGCGUUGUUCGGAAUUACUGGGUGUAAAGGGUUCGUAGGCGGUGCGGCAAGUUGGGAGUGAAAUCUCUGGGCUUAACCCAGAGGCUGCUUCCAAAACUGCUGUGCUUGAGUGUGGGAGAGGCGCGUGGAAUUGCAGGUGUAGCGGUGAAAUGCGUAGAUAUCUGCAGGAACACCCGUGGCGAAAGCGGCGCGCUGGACCACUACUGACGCUGAGGAACGAAAGCUAGGGGAGCAAACAGGAUUAGAUACCCUGGUAGUCCUAGCCCUAAACGAUCAGGACUUGGGGUGCCACCCGUUCGGGUGUCGUCCCGGAGCUAACGCGUUAAGUCCUGCACCUGGGGAGUACGGUCGCAAGACUGAAACUC
rnacentral:rRNA from 1 species